rnacentral:sRNA from 1 species
GCCGGGCGCGGUGGCACACACCUGUAAUUCCAGUGGCACAGGAGGCUGAGGCAGGAGGAUUGCAAGUUGGAGGCCAGCCUCAGCAAUUUAGCCAGGCCUUCAGCACCUUAGAGAGACCCUGUCUCUA